UAACGAUCCGGAAACGGGUGCUAAUACCGCAUAGUUUUCUUGAUCGCAUGAUCGGGAAAGGAAAGACGGCCUUUGUGCUGUCGCUUAUGGAUGGACCCGCGGCGUAUUAGUUAGUUGGUGAGGUAACGGCUCACCAAGACGAUGAUGCGUAGCCGACCUGAGAGGGUGAUCGGCCACAUUGGGACUGAGACACGGCCCAAACUCCUACGGGAGGCAGCAGUAGGGAAUCUUCCGCAAUGGACGAAAGUCUGACGGAGCAACGCCGCGUGAGUGAAGAAGGUUUUUUCCGGAUCGUAAAACUCUGUUGUCAGAGAAGAGCAAGUUGGAGAGUAACUGCUCCAGCCUUGACGGUAUCUGACCAGAAAGCCACGGCUAACUACGUGCCAGCAGCGGC
rnacentral:rRNA from 1 species